rnacentral:rRNA from 1 species
GGAUGAACGUUGGCGGCGUGCCUAAUACAUGCAAGUCGAACGAAGACUGUAGUAAUACUGUCUUAGUGGCGAACGGGUGAGUAACGCGUGGGUGACCUGCCCCGAAGUGUGGGAUAACAGUCCGAAAGGAUUGCUAAUACUGCAUAAUAUCCAAGAGAUUAGAUGCUUUUGGAUUAAAGGAGUAAUUCGCUUCGGGAGGGGCCCGCGUCCCAUCAGCUAGUUGGUAAGGUAAUGGCUUACCAAGGCGAUGACGGGUAGGGGACCUGAGAGGGUGGCCCCCCACAAUGGAACUGAAACACGGUCCAUACACCUACGGGUGGCAGCAGUAGGGAAUAUUAGAAAUGGACGAAAGUCUGAUCUAGCAACACCGCGUGUGCGAAGAAGGCCUUCGGGUCGUAAAGCACUUUUUGGAAGGAAUAGGAAGGAAUGUACUUCCAGAAUAAGUCUCGGCUAACUACGUGCCAGCAGCCGCGGUAACACGUAGGAGGCGAACGUUAUCCGGAUUUACUGGGCGUAAAGCGCGUGUAGGUGGUACUGUAAGUAGGGCGUGAAAGCUCCUGGCUCAACUGGGAGAGGCCGUUCUAAACUACAGAACUAGAGGAUGGUAGAGGGAGGUGGAAUUCCAGGUGUAGCGGUGGAAUGCGCAGAUAUCUGGAGGAACACCGGUGGCGAAGGCGGCCUCCUGGACCAUUCCUGACACUCAGACGCGAAAGCUAGGGUAGCAAACGGGAUUAGAGACCCCGGUAGUCCUAGCCCUAAACGAUGUAGACUAGGCGUCGGAAGUUUAAUCACUUUCGGUGUCCAAGCUAACGCGAUAAGUCUACCGCCUGGGGACUACGGCCGCAAGGUUAAAACUCAAAGGAAUUGACGGGUCCCCGCACAAGCAGCGGAGCGUGUGGUUUAAUUCGUUGCUACACGAAGAACCUUACCUGGGUUUGACAUAGCAGUGGUAGGGAAGCGAAAGCGGACCGACCCUUCGGGGAGCUGUUACAGGUGUUGCAUGGCUGUCGUCAGCCCGUGUCGUGAGAUGUUCGGUUAAGUCCGCUAACGAGCGCAACCCGCGUUGUGUGCUACAAGUGUCACACAAUACCGCCGGUAUUAAGUCGGAGGAAGGUGCGGAUGACGUCAAGUCAGCAUGACCUUUAUAUCCAGGGCUACACACACGCUACAAUGGUCAGCACAAUAGGUUGCCAAGUCGUGAGACGGAGCCAAUCCUCCAAAGCUGGCCUCAGUUCAGAUUGCAGGCUGCAACUCGCCUGCAUGAAGUUGGAGUUGCUAGUAAACGCAGGUCAGCUAUACUGCGUUGAAUACGUUCCCGGGGAU